GACGAACGCUGGCGGCGUGCUUAACACAUGCAAGUCGAACGGAGUGGCGAACGGGUGAGUAACACGUGGGUGACCUGCCCUGCACUUCGGGAUAAGCCUGGGAAACUGGGUCUAAUACCGGAUAGUGUGGGAUGGGCCCGCGGCCUAUCAGCUUGUUGGUGGGGUAAUGGCCUACCAAGGGGGGGACGGGUGGCCGGCCUGAGAGGGUGGACGGCCGCAUUGGGACUGAGACACGGCCCAGACGCCUACGGGAGGAAGCAGUGGGGAAUAUUGCGCGAUGGGCGGAAGCCUGAUGCAGCCAUGCCGCGAGGAUGAAGAAGGCCUUCGGGUUGUAAACUCCUUUCACCAUCGACGCGGUAGAUGGAGAAGAAGCACCGGCUAACUACGUGCCAGCAGCCGCGGUAAUUC
rnacentral:rRNA from 1 species